UACGGAGGGUGCGAGCGUUGUCCGGAAUCACUGGGCGUAAAGGGCGCGUAGGCGGCUGGGGAAGUCGGCGGUGAAAGCCCGGAGCUCAACUCCGGGUCGGCCGUCGAGACUCCUCGGCUCGAGCUCACUAGAGGCAGAUGGAAUUCCGGGGUGUAGCGGUGGAAUGCGUAGAGAUCCGGAAGAACACCGGUGGCGAAGGCGGUCUGCUGGGGUGAGGCUGACGCUGAGGCGCG
rnacentral:rRNA from 1 species